CUUCCUCCUGGUCCCCGCGGCCCCGGUUGGGUGUCGCCUGCCCCGCACGGGCGGUCGGGCCGAGGGACGAUGGUCGGUGGACGGACGGCGUCAGGGAGAGGUGCGCACGAGCGGCAGGGCGGUACCUUCAGGCCUCCAGGAGGAGGGCUCUGCAGGCCGCCUCCCCGAAUGGGAGGUUCCCAAGCCACUGCACUUCGGAGGGGCUGUAAUUGGAGUUGCACUUUCAUUCUGUUCCCAGUAAAGUGGACCGUGCUCAAGCCAGUGAGGAAAAGGUAUUCUUAACAAUUAGAUUGGCCGAGCGCAGUGGCUCAUGCCUUUUAUCUCAACACUUUGGGAGGCCAAGGCGGGAGGAUCACCUGUGGCCAGGAGUUCAAGACCAGCCUGGGCAACAGAGUGAGCCUGUCUCUGGGGAAGAAUAAAAAAUUAUUGAGCCUUUGUCAAUGCUACUAUUUUAUUAUCUGGUAAAUAUGAGAGGGUU